rnacentral:rRNA from 1 species
GAAGGCCUACGGGGCGCAGCAGUGAGGAAUAUUGGUCAAUGGGCGGUAGCCUGAACCAGCCACGUAGCGUGAAGGAUGAAGGUGCUAUGGAUUGUAAUCUUCUUUUAUAAAGGAAUAAAGUGAGGCUCGUGUGCCUUUUUGUAUGUACUUUAUGAAUAAGGAUCGGCUAACUCCGUGCCAGCAGCCGCGGUAAUACGGAGGAUCCGAGCGUUAUCCGGAUUUAUUGGGUUUAAAGGGAGCGUAGGUGGAUUGUUAAGUCAGUUGUGAAAGUUUGCGGCUCAACCGUAAAAUUGCAGUUGAAACUG